rnacentral:rRNA from 1 species
UGGAAAGUAAAAAAUCGUAACAAGGUCUCCGUAGGUGAACCUGCGGAGGGAUCAUUACACAAAUAUGAAGGCGGGCUGGAACCUCUCGGGGUUACAGCCUUGCUGAAUUAUUCACCCUUGUCUUUUGCGUACUUCUUGUUUCCUUGGUGGGUUCGCCCACCACUAGGACAAACAUAAACCUUUUGUAAUUGCAAUCAGCGUCAGUAACAAAUUAAUAAUUACAACUUUCAACAACGGAUCUCUUGGUUCUGGCAUCGAUGAAGAACGCAGCGAAAUGCGAUAAGUAGUGUGAAUUGCAGAAUUCAGUGAAUCAUCGAAUCUUUGAACGCACAUUGCGCCCUUUGGUAUUCCAAAGGGCAUGCCUGUUCGAGCGUCAUUUGUACCCUCAAGCUUUGCUUGGUGUUGGGCGUCUUGUCUCUAGCUUUGCUGGAGACUCGCCUUAAAGUAAUUGGCAGCCGGCCUACUGGUUUCGGAGCGCAGCACAAGUCGCACUCUCUAUCAGCAAAGGUCUAGCAUCCAUUAAGCCUUUUUUUCAACUUUUGACCUCGGAUCAGGUAGGGAUACCCGCUGAACUUAAGCAUAUCAAUAGCCGGGAAGGAA